rnacentral:rRNA from 1 species
CCUACGGGAGGCAGCAGUGGGGAAUUUUGGACAAUGGGCGCAAGCCUGAUCCAGCCAUGCCGCGUGUGGGAAGAAGGCCUUCGGGUUGUAAACCACUUUUGUCAGGGAAGAAACGGUCUGGUCUAAUAAACCGGACUAAUGACGGUACCUGAAGAAUAAGCACCGGCUAACUACGUGCCAGCAGCCGCGGCAAUACGUAGGGUGCAAGCGUUAAUCGGAAUUACUGGGCGUAAAGCGUGCGCAGGCGGCUUUGCAAGACAGAUGUGAAAUCCCCGGGCUCAACCUGGGAACUGCAUUUGUGACUGCAAGGCUAGAGUACGGCAGAGGGGGAUGGAAUUCCGCGUGUAGCAGUGAAAUGCGUAGAUAUGCGGAGGAACACCGAUGGCGAAGGCAAUCCCCUGGGCCUGUACUGACGCUCAUGCACGAAAGCGUGGGGAGCAAACAGGAUUAGAUACCCUGGUAGUCCACGCCCUAAACGAUGUCACUGGUUGUUGGGUAGGGUUUCUUCUCAGUAACGAAGCUAACGCGUGAAGUUGACCGCCGUGGGGAGGUACGGCCGGCGAGGUAGAACGUACGAAAGGAAGUUAGUACGGCGUGAGACGUAGCCGACGGACGACGACGAGGGAGGAGGG